rnacentral:lncRNA from 1 species
AAAAAAAUGAAGGUGUUAGAGUUAGAAGCAUCAGAAGUAGGAUGCAAACAUCACUCAAUUAACAUCAAACAACAACAACAAGGUGUUUGUUCCUAUUGCUUAAGUGACAAAUUAUCAAAUCUCAACAACAAACCAAUUGCAUCUUCUCCUUCAUCUCCUUCUCAUGAAUUCUUCUCUUCUUCCUCAUCGAAUUACGUUUCCUCGGCUAAUCGAAGACGCCAUCGGCGCCAUGCCUCUCAUGUAAUGGAUUCUGCUUCUUACUUGAUCAACUUCAAUGUUGGGUUGAAAAAAAGCAAGUCAAUUGCCUUUGUCACUACAAACAAAGUUAAAGAGAGGGAAGUAAAUAGAGACAAUAAGGGAAGUAAGAAAGAUGGUUUUUGGUCUAAGUUACUCAAAUUGACAAAGAAGGAUAAGGCUUCAUGCAUUCAACGACCAUGAAGGAGGGAAAGGGUUCAAAGAUUUAGUAUUGGUUUACUUUUAUAAAUAAUGUAAUUACAUAAAUCACAAUGCAAAUUGAAGUUUAACUAGUGUUUUUUUCUCAAUGAUCAUAAGUGUUUUAUAGCCAUAUCUCAGAAACUUCAAUGGUAUUCUUUAGAUUUCAAUUAAACAGUGAAGAGAUGGUAUGUUAUUGCUAUUUAAGGGUUCUAACCAAAUCCAAGAACCAUUUUCAGAAUAAAACGUCAGCAACAUUUAUUUUCAUUUGUUAUAUAUGCUGUAAGUGAUGUAUUGAUGGGGGAGUAAGCUCACGAGCAAAACAUAAGAUCUAACUGAUUUUUUUUCCUGGAAACAGCCUGUCCUGGACAAAUACGAGUAUAUAAUAAGAUCUAAAUUGGAAGUUUUGUCGAUUUAAGCGCCAUUCUUCUACAGGACGAUACGAGUUUAUAACAUGAGCAUGAUCACAAAGGAGUGAAGUAACAAAUGUCAAAUCCUGCAGCUGUUAAAAAUCAUGGUGUGGUGAAAGUACUUGUUAAAUGAAGAUUGCUUCCUUUUUUAUUUGUGGUAUAUUGACAUAUCACAGGAUGGUUCCUAGAUUCAAAAUCAGUACUAUAGAAAUUCCUUGCUAGUGGAACAACUUACUCACCUACUCUGUAUCAUUGUUCAGGCCAAGGCCAUUCUACAAAUAAUAUGAUUUUAAGAGGUUGUUUC